rnacentral:rRNA from 1 species
GACGAACGCUGGCGGCGUGCUUAACACAUGCAAGUCGAACGGAAAGGCCCUGCUUUUGUGGGGUGCUCGAGUGGCGAACGGGUGAGUAACACGUGAGUAACCUGCCCUUGACUUUGGGAUAACUUCAGGAAACUGGGGCUAAUACCGGAUAGGAGCUCCUGCUGCAUGGUGGGGGUUGGAAAGUUUCGGCGGUGGGGGAUGGACUCGCGGCUUAUCAGCUUGUUGGUGGGGUAGUGGCUUACCAAGGCUUUGACGGGUAGCCGGCCUGAGAGGGUGACCGGCCACAUUGGGACUACGAUACGGCCCAGACUCCUACGGGCCGCAGCAGUGGGGAAUAUUGCACAAUGGGCGGAAGCCUGAUGCAGCAACGCCGCGUGCGGGAUGACGGCCUUCGGGUUGUAAACCGCUUUCGCCUGUGACGAAGCGUGAGUGACGGUAAUGGGUAAAGAAGCACCGGCUAACUACGUG